AUGGAUCCUUCAUUUGCAUAUUUCGCCUCCGGAUCCCUGAAUGUCACCUCCGUGUCCCCAUGGACCCCAAAAUGUCCCCGCUGCCACCUCCUGUGUCCCCAGAUGUCCCCUCUGUCACCCCCCAAUGUCCCCAUGGACCCCAAAAUGUCCCCACUGCCACCUCCUGUGUCCCCAAAAGUCCCCUUCUGUCACCCCCAAUGUCCCCAUGGACCCCAAAAUGUCCCCACUGCCACCUCCUGUGUCCCCAAAUGUCCCCUCUGCCCCCAUACAUACAUGUGUCCUCCCCUAUUUACAUGUCCCCCGUACACACGCGUGUGUUCUUCUCAUGUCCGUGCCAUGUGCACACGUGUGUGCCCCCUACACGUACCUGUGUGCCCACAUAUGACCCCCCCCACGCACACGCGUGCCCACACGUGUUCCCUUAUGCACACGUACACCCACAUAUGUGACCCCCACGCACACGUGUGUCCACGUAUGGACACUCCCAUGUACCUGUGUGCCCGUAUACGAGCCCCCUGUGCACACGUGUGCCAUGUAUGUUCCCCCGUGCACGCGUGUGUGCCCAGAUAUGUUCCCUUAUGCACACAUGUAUGUCCACAUACGUGCCCUUCAUGCACACAUGUAUACCUAUAUGUGCCCCCCAUGCACACGUGUGCCCAUAUAUGUGCCCC
rnacentral:lncRNA from 1 species